CGUCUGAGGGCCCGAAGCUGAGCUUACUCCCUGCACGCUCGGGCCAUCUGGACCACCCCACCUGCGUUCUGGUGCUGGGGCGCUUGCCCGCGCAGCUGGGGCACCCUGGGGAGAGGCAAGUUUCUCUGCAUGUCCUCCUGGGUCCUGUCGCUCCGCCAAGGACAGUCACAGCCAAGGCAAAGCCCCCGACACCAGCAGGAGACCCCGUGCGGCAGAAGCUUUGCCAGCAGACCUGAGACACAGGGUGCCUUCCCAGGGGCUGGCAGGUGUGGCCAAGGCACAGUCCCCGGAGGAGGCCAGACCGGGCUCGGGCUGGGAGAAGUGGCCCGGGUGGAGUGCACCUGGAAGAACGGGGCUGUCUCCUCCAGGUGCGUGGAGAGACGAAGGUGGGAGCAGCUUUGCGCGUGCUUCUUUGGAAAUCAGGAUCACAGUGAGAGACCAGCACACACCGCUAGCUCGGGCAUAUCUGGAGCCCUUUGGGGUUGGAGGCCAUGCAGCCCGGGCCGGUUUCUGGAGAAGUGUGGCAUGCGUCAGCCUGUCCACCGCUUGCCCAUCCGUGCGCUCCUGGACACUUCUCUCCCAGAGUCUUCCAGAUUCGUCCCCACAAAGAUGUGUACAGUCAUGUUCAUAGCAGCUUUAUUUGAAAUGGCUAAGAUCUGGAAGAGCCCUAGUUGUCCGAGUACAGGUGAACGGCUAAACUGGUCUGCGUGCAGUGCCGCCCAUGCAGUGAGGGGCACCUGCGGAGUCGCAGCGUGAGUGCGAGAAGCCUGAGGACAGCAGUGCCCUGAGGGGGGUCCGGAAGCGCAUUGUCCCCCACAGCCUGGAAGCUGGCAGGGGUCGCUUGGGGCCUGGGGGGCCUGCAGAGGGGGCGAGGAGACUCAGGGUUACCCUGAUUGUGGUGACGGUUUCACGGGUGUGCACGAAUGUCAGGACUCAGCACGUGGGACGCGGUGAACAUGUGCUGUUACCAAACAUCAGAAAUAUCUCUAAGAUGCAAAAACGAGUGACUAAGAAUAAAAAGUAAAGCACCUG
ensembl:lncRNA